rfam:Idiomarina woesei strain DSM 27808 genome assembly, contig: Ga0061064_101
GCGUCCGUAGCUCAGUUGGUUAGAGCACUACCUUGACAUGGUAGGGGUCGGUAGUUCGAGUCUACUCGGACGCA